GAUCUCUGUUUUUCUGCUGCUGCCUCGAUUGUUGAUGUAGAUGGUUGCGGCCUCGUAACCCAUCUGAGAUAAUUUGGUAAUUCUUCCCAAAAUUCUGUAACUUUCCACAAUUUUGUUAAUUUGUACCAGCAAAUCUCUAGGGUUGUCUGUGUUCUUGAUUUUCUGGGUAUCCUAGCAUUUGAUCUGUCAGGAGAUUGUGUCAAAUUUUUAUAUGUUAGGUAUGCGUUCUGUCAACAUUUCUAAAGGUGUAGUGCUUGUUAUUGGAAGCUGUUGGUUCUCUGCCUUCUCAAUCCGUAUUAUUUUUAAAUAUGAAUAUAGUUGUGUGGAAUUCUAGAGGAUUUGGCUGCACCAAAUUUUAGAAUAAUGUUACUAAUUUAAAGCAAAACCACAAAUUGGAGAUUCUUUCAAUUUGGAUUUUUAUCUAAUAGCUACAAACAUCCCUUUAAAGCAAGGUAUAAAAUAUCGAUCGGAAAUUUCGGUAGUUCAAAAACACGGAAAUUACGAUGGAAAUAUCAGGAUAUUAUCGAUAUCGAUAAAAAUUAAAUAAAAACCACGGAAAUUGUAAGAAAAACUUGGAAAUUUUUAUUGAAACUUUGCAGGAUGUUUAUUUAGUCAAUUAUCUAUUAGUUUAUCACAAAAAAUUGGAAGGAAAUGCAUUACAUGAUAGAUAUAACUGAUUUAAGUUGAUUAUAUAGAGAGCUAGCAAAUAUUGUGAGUGUAAAAAAUAUGUAGUAAUUAAUGAAAGAAGUUUAAACACACCAUAAUCAUUUAUAUAUAAUGAAUUAGUAAUAUUUUACACUUUAUACAUUGCAUGGUAAGAUACAUGAGUGACUUAGCAAGGUCUAAAAUAUCGAUGAUAUCGGAAAUAUCGGUAGUCCAAAAACAUGGAAAUUUCGAUGGAAAUAUCAGGAUAUUAUGGAUAUUUUAGACCAUGCUUUAAAGUUAUAAUAAUUAUAGCCGUUAGAUAAAAAUCCAAUGGCCCACGAUGAUUGGUCAGGAAGAUCCUCUCCAUUAGCUCAAGGGAGGAUCCAAAUCCCUUUUUGUGGCCAAAUCGCUGGGCUUUCCUUCAUUUAAAAUAGUGGAUGCUAAUGGGUUCUCUGGAGGGUUAUUGUAAUACCCUGAAAAUUUUAAGUAUAUGAAUUUGAAUUAUGAAUAUGUGGAGAAAAUCGAAAAUAAAUCGAUUUAUGGUUAUGAAAAUUUAAUUGAGAAAUUUUAUAAUUUUGUUAUUGGAAAUUAUUAUAAUUUACGUCGUAAAAUUUAUCGAUAAGUGAAAAAGAUGAAAAUGCCCUUAGUUGGUUUAACGUAACUAUAUGAGGAUGUAUUUUAUCCUCAUAUAUUUGAUCAUAUUUCUUGGCAUCUUUGGAUAGAGCUCGAUCUCACGAAUGCAUAGGCGCAAACUGUUUGUGAUAUGCCACGUGUGUGGCUGGGAUGAAAGGAAAAGAAAAGAAAAGAAAAGAGGGAGAUGGACGACUGGGAUAAGAAAGAGAGAAAGGAGGGAUGGGACCGGCCAAUCAGGAAGAGAGGAAAUGAGGGGAAAGGAGGGAGAAGAAAAUGAGGGGGAAACGUUUCCCCUUGACCCGCAUGACCCGACCCGUUCUUCCAUAUUUUUCGAUGGUUUUCCAUCGGAUUUCCAACGAAUUGGACUGAUUUAUCAUGCCCAAUCAUCAUCUUGCCACUCCCUCUUCCAUUUUCACCUAAAAUUUGAAGGAAUUUGGGGGUAAUUUGGUGAAGAACCGAUGGUGGGUGUUCCGAAGCCACGACGGGAAUUCAUCCAUUUUCGAAGGGAUUUUCGUCAACCAUCACCACCCUUAGGUGUCUUUGGAGUCCAGGAACAAAGCCCAAUCAACAUUAGGGGGGGCGGAGCGACAUAAUGGACGAAUCGAAGUUCACUCUUUUAGGGUUUUCUGGCGGUUCUUGGUGAUUUCAGGCCACUUCUGGCCAAACUAGGCUUCGGCCCAGGAAUGAAAAUUGCUCCCCUCAUUGAGAUAUACAAUUUUGUAAAAUUUGGCAAUUUUUAGAAAUAGUUGAUUUUUCGGCGAGUCGGGGUGAUCGGCAGCCGCGUGCGGCGGCACGUGGUGGUAGCGCAUGGGUUGAGACCCCACCUGCUCUUCCUAGACUAAUUUGAAUACCCUGAUUCCAUAUAUGACGUUCGAUUGACGAAAUCUCGUCGCAUGACUAUAGUUUUGAUAAGGACCGCCAUUUGGAUAUUAUAUGAAUCGAUGAUCCGACCGUUGGAUCGUCACCAAAAUUUAACACGUAAUAGUACGUAAUAUUUGAGGACAAUAGGAACUUACGGAUCUUCCCGAAUUUGAUUUCUAAGUUUGUAAAAUCAAACGUUGGCCGCCACUUGAAUUUGCGAUUGGUGGAGAUCCAACUAUUGGAUCGUAAUGAAAUUUUAGUAUGUUGUUCUAGAGGCAUAAUGUGGAUGUUGAGAAGUUACAAAGCAUAAAUAUGAUAGGCGGAUCUUCCGGUUUAGAUUUCUAGGGUUGUGAACCCUAUCCUCGAUCUUGAUCGACGGUUGACUUUUUAUAGUCAACUAAAUCGAGUUUCUAGUGUGCCGUUUAUCUUAGAGUGAUGUUGACAUUUCAUGAAGCUUAGUGGGCUCAUUGCGACUGCAGGUGUUUUGUUUUACGUAUGAGUGAUUAUAAUAUCGGUGAUUUAUAUUGAAUUGUUAUUUUAUUUUAUUGUCAUUGAUCUAUGUUUGUGAAUUGUGAACUACGAUUGGCUUGAUCCCUUCGAAGGGUACGUAGGCAGUCUAAUGAGAAGUUAGAUGCAGCCAUAAAAUAAAUGAGAUUAAAUUUUAGUGGAAAAUCGUCAAAUUGAGAAAUGUUAGAAUGGUUAUUAACAUAAAGGGUAACUAUGACAUUUUUGGCCUACCACUAAAGGUAAAUUAUGAAAUAAAGCGAGGCGUUACAGUUAUGGCUUCUUUGGGAUAACAGUAAAGUUCAUAUUGAUAUUAUUGGCACCACUGAUCAAUCCAUCUCAGUUUGUGUGAGGGGAGCUGGUUAUAACCCCUGGUUGCUUACGUUCAUUUAUGCUAGCCCUUGUAUUGUGAAGAGAAGAAAAUUGUGGGAUUACCUUAAUGGUGUAGUUGACUACCACCAAAUGUUAUGGAUGCUAGCAAGGGAUUUUAAUGAAAUGUUAGAGGUGGGUGAUAAGCUAGGUGGUGCUCCUCUUUGUAGGAUCAAGGACUUUAAAGCUUGGGUGGAUACAAAUAAUUUGUUGGACUAAGGAUAUGUUGAUCCUAAAUUCACUUGGACUAACAAGAAAACUCUAGAAAGAAUUGAUAGAUGAUUAUGUAAUAUGGCUUGGAGAAACUUAUUCUCAGAGGCAAGUGUUUUCCACUUACCACAUACCAAAUCUGAUCAUUGUCCUCUCAAAAUCAGUCUUCAAUCUACUCAUGUCCCCAAUCCUCUUCAAAGACCUUUUAGAUUUAAGGCUAUGUGGCUUGGGCAUGAUGCUUUUGAUGAGCUUAUUGUAGAAAACUAGAGUAAUUCUCAUGGUUCUGCUUUGGACAAAACUUGUGCUCUAGUUGAGCCCCUGAAAAGAUGGAAUGUUCAUGUCUUCAAGCAGAAGAAGAAGAAGCUCCUUAGACGCAUUGAUGGUAUCCAUAAAACACUAUGUAGAGGCCCAAACAAUUUUCUUCUCAACUUGGAACGGGAAUUAAUUUCAGAGUUCAACAAAAUUUUAAAUUAGGAAGCUGUCUUCUGGCAUCAAAAGUCUAGAUUGAAAUGGUUACAAGACGGUGACCGUAAUACUUAAUUUUUCCAUCUUACCAUGAUUGUGAGAAGAAGGAGAAAUUGAAUUGAGGGACUGAAGAAUGAUUAUGGUGAUUGGAUUGUAGACCAUGAUGACCUGAAAAGUCUUGUUGUGGAGUACUUUCAAACAUUCUUCUUUCAUGGAAAUGGUCUAGACAGGUUAAUUCUCUACCUAAACUUUUUCCUUCUAUUCAUUUGGAUGAUAUUGGAUCACUUAAUAGAAAGAUUGACCAUGCGGAAGUUAAGGAUAGCCUUUUCAGUAUUGGAGGUACUAAAGCAUCGGGUAUCGAUGGGUUUCCUACUUACUUUUAUCAAGCUCAAUGGGGCAGAUGUGCAAGUGAUAUUGUUGAUAUGGUUAAAAUAACAUUUCAAACUCAUAAAUUGCCUUAUGGUUUGAACAGUACGUUAAUUGCUUUAGUGCCUAAAAUUGAGAACCCUCAAAGGAUGAGGCUCAGGCCUCUUCUCCUUGGAUUGAUAAGCCCAAAUCAAGCUAGCUUUGUCCCUGGUAGACAUAUAACGGAUAAUAUUCUCAUUGCACAAGAGAUUCUUUAUAAGUUUAGAAAGUCCAAGGGUAAGAAAGGUUUUUUAGCAUGGAAAAUUGAUUUGUCUAAGGCUUAUGACCGCUUAAACUGGAGCUUUAUCAGUGGUGUGCUCUAUGAGAUUGGCUUGCCUGAAAGUUUGAUUCAUCUUAUCAUGGACUGCAUAUCCUCUGUUAAUUACCAGGUUUGUGUUAAUGGUGAAUUAACUGAGAGCUUUACGCCUAGUAAUGGUAUUAGCCAAUGGGAUCAUUUGUCCCCUUAUAUUUUUGUACUUUGUGUUGAGAAGUUGUCACAUGUUAUUACUAAUGAAGUCAAUUCUGGUAAGUGGAAACAUGUCAAGGCUUCUUAGUUUGGUCCCCGUGCCUCUCAUCUUUUCUUUGCAGAUGAUCUUAUGCUUUUUGCAGAUGCAACACCAAAACAAUCUAGGGUGAUGAAGAGAUGUAUUGAAAAUUUCUUCUUGGCAUCUGGCCAAGCAGUCAACUUUGAGAAAUCUAUGUUGUAUUGUUCUCCUAAUACUUGUGCAAAUGAGGCUAGAGAAAUAAGUGCUAUUUGUGGAUCUUCUCUAUCUGAUAAUCUUGGAAAUUAUUAGGGAUGCCAUUGAUCCAAUGUAGAGUCUCUAAAUCAACUUAUAAGGGUGAUAUUGAUAAAGUUCAGAGUAGACUUUCUUCUUGGAAGAGUAAUAUCCUUUCAAUGGCUAGAAGAGCCACCUUAAUCCAAGCAGUCACCUUUGCUACACCGGUGUAUGCUAUGCAAACCACUAAGCUUCCAGUUAGUGUAUGCGAGCAUUUGGAUAAGUUGAACAUAAACUUCUUUUGGGGGGACUCUCAACAGAAAAAGAAAAUUCAUUUAUGUCAAUGGAACCUUGUUUGCAGGCCCAAGUGAGUUAGAGGUGUGGGAUUAAAGAAAACGACAGAGAUGAACCAAGCUUUGUUGGCUAAAAUUGGAUAGAGAAUUCAUGUUAAGGAUACAAGUCUCCGGGCGAAAAUCUAUGAGGCGAAAUACUUGCAAGGGAACUUUAUUUUGGAUACUAAAUUACAUGAGAAGUCUGACUGCUCAUACACUUGGAAAGGAAUUCUUUAUGGAACUGACUUGUUGCACAAGCACAAAGGAAUGAAAUGGAGAAUUGGAAAAGGUGAUGGUGUCAAGUUUGGAAAGACCCUUGGGUGUUGAAUGCUCCUUUUAUUAAUUAUAUUGAUGCUAAUAACUUUCAUGAGGAGGAUUUUCCAAUCUCUUGUUUCUUUCGGGAUGGUUGGUGGGAUGUUAGUAAGCUAAGAUAUGCUUUUCUAGAAAACUUGGUCCGAAAAAUUAUCAGUUGGCCUGCUGGGACUAUUGGUGCUGGAGAGGACAAACUUAUAUGGAGAUGCACUUCAAAUGGAACUUUCACCAUAAAGACUAACUGUAAUGUGUUAUAUGAUUCUUCCUCUAACUCAUUGGUUAAGGUAAAUUACUUACUAAUGAGCAAAGAACCAAAAGGAAUUUAACUAUGGAUUCCUCUUGCAACCUUUGUUCUUGGCCUUUGGAGACCAUUACACAUAUUCUAAGGGAGUGUAGCAAAGCUGAAUGCAUUGGGAUUCUACGAAUUCCUUCUCAAUUAUGCAAUAAUUUUAAUUUGGACUUGAAAGCUUGGUUGAUGGCUAACGUGACGUCCAAGGUAAUGGGUCUAGCAAGAUAGCAUGAAAUUGUUUGUUUGUCUUUGUUUGCUGGUAUAUCUAGAAAUGGAGGAACCACCAAAUUUUUGAAGUGGAUUUUUCCCUCCCUAGUGAUCCUAAAAAGGUUAUUGUUGGAGCUGCCUUUGAAUGGAUAGAUUCCCUUCUAAAAAUUGAUAGACCACCUCCUCAAAUGCAUGUUAUGUUGAAGUGAGAGCCUCCUAUUCUUGGUUGGCAUAAAUUGAAUGUGGAUGGAUCUAGAAAAAUGGUUUCGAGCAACAUCGGUGCUAGAGGAAUUCUCCGUGACCACAAAGGUUGCUUGGGAGGUUUCUCUAUUAAUCUAGGUCAAGGGUAGAUUAUUGAUGUUGAAGUUUGGGGAUUAUAUUUUGAACUCCAGCUUGCUAUUGAAAAGACAUAUCUAAGUUAAUCAUCGAGAUGAACUCUUCCUCUACUGUUUUAUUGUUGAAUGAGUCUGUACAAGAUACUUUCCACCCCCUUGCAACCCUUUUGAAGAGUUGUAGGGAUUUGAUGAGACGGAUUGAGCAUUGUGAGCUAACAUAUCUUCAGGGAAGUGAAUAAUGUUGCAGAUCAGCUAGCCAAAUGAAGUUACAAUUUGAACCUUGGGUUGUAUUUUUUUCAGUCUUCUCCCCAGUGACUUAUGCAACAUCUAAUGGAUGAUAUUGUUGGUGCCCCUAUGGACCGCUUUAUUGUUAUUAAUGAUAUAUAUUAGUUUGUCUGGAUGUCUUCACCCUCUCUAUUCACCAAAAAAAAAAAAACAUAAUAUUAAUUUCGUGGGCCUAAGCUUCUUAAACAAUAUUUGCACUCCUGUCUACAGCAUCGUCUCACAAAAUAUGCUGUGAUCAAUUUACAUAUUAAUAUUUGAUCACGUUUUCCUUUUUUUGCAUAAAGAAUUAAUUUCUUGUGCCUAUUUGCAGUAAAGAUAAGAUAUCCUGUUUGGAAUUAUAUAAAUGAGUAAAAUAAAAUGAGAGGCACGUGACCUGUUUUUUUAUUGUCGAACUGAACCAUGUGACCUAGACAUUAUCCGCAUUUCCCAAUUUCUAACGCUAUAUUUGGAUGAGGGAAAUAAACUUGGAAUUUGGAUAAAAGUCGGAAUUUGUAAAUUGACAUGCACGAAUUCUCUUGUUUGGAUUCAUAAACAUAGAAAUUUAGAAUUUCCGCGUAGAAAAAAACUUGGAAUUUAGGACCUCCAAUUCCCAAGUUUUAAUUUCAUAUACAUAGGUGUCAUUUCCCAAUUUCUAUGAUUGAGAGCUUAAAAAUAACAAAUUCUGUAUUCAAUUUCAUUGUUCUUUUAGGCAAACCAAACAAGAAAAUUCACAAAUUCUAGAAAAUAAAAUCCCGUCAUUUUAAAAUUCCUUGGUAAUCUUAAAUUUCUUCAUCCAAAUAUAAUGUAAAAGAUAUUUGGGGAUUUGACAAAAAAGAUAUUAAGUAUCGAUACAUGUAAACAGUAAAAAUUUGAAUUAUUUUGAUGGGAAACAUUAAGGAAAUUCUUUUAAGUUUGAGAUUUUUUAUGAACUCUCCACCACCUCAUGUUUUUAGCGUAAUUCAUGUGACAACAUCAUAAAACUUUGUGCCAGAAUCAUGAAGUGGCGUAUAGUUUAUGGAGAGUCUCAAUUUGAGAGUCUCCUUAGCAUUUCUCUUAUUUUAAUUAUUGAGUUUCAUGCGUUACUAAAAUAUUUGUAUGAAAAUCAUUUCACUCCUUAAGUUUCUCCUGUGUUUAUUUACAGAUAAUACUUAAAAACUUGUAAUCAAAUACUUAAAAAUCUUGAUCGACAAAGAAACUAGUUGAUCUGAUUCUCUCUCACUUCUAGCGCGUUAGGGUGGUUUGAGAGUGAGGUGCUUAAAAAAAAAAGCACCCAUGAAAAAAAGUUGUGAGGGCUUUAGGUGUUUGGUAAACUAAAAAAAAAGGGCUUAUUUUGGAAGCUGCUGUGAGAAUAAGCUGAAAUCAAAGGAAAAAGCUGAAGCAGCUAUUUGUAGCUUUGGAAAACUGGUUUUUUUUCAAAGCACACGGAGCUACAGUGCUCCUUUAAUGAAAAGACCCACUAU
rnacentral:lncRNA from 1 species